rnacentral:lncRNA from 1 species
UUUGGCUGUUCCUCUUGGGACACGAUUAUCUUCAUUAGAUUCAUCAAGACGCGUCUUUUCUUUCUUUUGACUCAUGCGCUUGAAUUUGCGCUGGGACUUCUUGUUGCCACCUUCUGCCUUCCGGUGUUGGGAUUUUUAUUGUUUCCUGCUGGGGAUUCUUGUUGUAACCUUUACCUUCCGGUGGGGUUACUGACUUCAAAAUCUGCAGUAUAAGACUGAAAAGUAUUCCUCUCGUUAUACAGGUGGGUGCUUGGAAAUGGAAAAAUGAAAUGUAUGCCCGCAUUAUACUGGUGGGCGACCUGGAAAUGGAAAACUAAAAUGUAUGCCCGCAUUAUACUGGUGGGCGACCUAGAAUAUGGAAUGAACAGACAAAAUGUAUUCCCUCAUUAUACUAGUGGGCGACCUAGAACUGAAAUGUAUUCCCGCAUUAUACUGGUGGGCGACCUAGAACUUAAAUGUAUUCCCGCAUUAUACUGGUGGGCGACCUAGAACUUAAAUGUAUUCCCGCAUUAUACUGGUGGGUGACCUAGAACUUAAAUGUAUUUGAAAUUGUUUCCCCGUCCUUUCGAGAAAAUUUUGACAAUCGGUAGAAAAUUUUCUGCCCCGGUUUUUGGUGACUUCCUUGGCGUUGCCUCUUGCUGCCAUCAUCAAUCCUUUGUUUUCCUGUAGCAGACAAAAGAAUUUAAUUAGUUUUAAUUGUGGUGGUAGAGGGUGCCUUUCCGGCGGAUGAUUUUUCCUCUCUUCCCCUUUUCUCGCUCUAUGUCCCCAUAAUUGGUUAGUGGACAAAAUUGCCUGCUGGGGGUCUCUAGCCUG